rnacentral:tRNA from 1 species
GGUUCAAUGGUCUAGUGGUUAUGAUUUCUGUCUUACAAGUCUAUCACAGAAGGUCUCCAGUUCGAUCCUGGAUUGAACCA